rnacentral:SRP_RNA from 2 species
GCCGGGCGUGGUGGCUCAUGCCUGUAAUCCCAGCAUUUUGGGAGGCCGAGACGGGUGGAUCACCUGAGGUCAGGAGUUCAGGACCAGCCUGGCCAACAUGGUGAAACUCUGUCUCUA